AUUUCUCAACCCCUCUCAAUUAGCUUUGAGGGGGAGCUUGGAUAGUGGGUGUUGCCAGAGACUCUUACUUGUGUAAGACUUGGGCUCACCUGAAAUGCAUUGGCUUGCAGUCAACCUUUUGACUUUGCAUGAUAAGGCUUUCGGUGUG
rnacentral:misc_RNA from 1 species